rnacentral:rRNA from 1 species
GACGUAGGAGGCGAGCGUUGUCCGGAUUCAUUGGGCGUAAAGAGCGCGCAGGCGGCUUGGUAAGUCGGAUGUGAAAUCCCGAGGCUCAACCUCGGGUCUGCAUCCGAUACUGCCCGGCUAGAGGUAGGUAGGGGAGAUCGGAAUUCCUGGUGUAGCGGUGAAAUGCGCAGAUAUCAGGAGGAACACCGGUGGCGAAGGCGGAUCUCUGGGCAUUACCUGACGCUCAGGCGCGAAAGCUAGGGGAGCGAACAGG